rnacentral:rRNA from 1 species
AACGAACGCUGGCGGCAUGCCUAACACAUGCAAGUCGAACGAGACCUUCGGGUCUAGUGGCGCACGGGUGCGUAACGCGUGGGAAUCUGCCCCUCGGUUCGGAAUAACAGUUAGAAAUGACUGCUAAUACCGGAUGAUGACUUCGGUCCAAAGAUUUAUCGCCGAGGGAUGAGCCCGCGUAAGAUUAGGUAGUUGGUGGGGUAAAGGCCUACCAAGCCGACGAUCUUUAGCUGGUCUGAGAGGAUGAUCAGCCACACUGGGGCUGAGACACGGCCCAGACUCCUACGGGAGGCGGCAGUGGGGAAUAUUGGACAAUGGGCGAAAGCCUGAUCCAGCAAUGCCGCGUGAGUGAUGAAGGCCUUAGGGUUGUAAAGCUCUUUUACCAGGGAUGAUAAUGACAGUACCUGGAGAAUAAGCUCCGGCUAACUCCGUGCCAGCAGCCGCCGUAA